rnacentral:rRNA from 1 species
AUCAGGGGUAAACCUGUGGAACUCGAACGAGCGAACGGGGAGAUUCACCGCUCUUCCGCGUCGGUCCGCGGCGGUGCGUAUCGGGCGGACGCGAUUCGCGUCGCGUCCGUCGGCGCACCGUCGUCAUUGAUGUCAGAUCGGCGGAGUGCGUGCACUUCUCCCUCAGUAUAACACCGCGACCCGUUGGAUUUUCGUCGAUCGAACACGUCGUGCGGUCGUCCGCCGUACGCCCGUCAAAAAGGCAGACGGCGGAGCCGCGACGUUGCGGCCGACGUUCGACGGUAACGAACUAGGUUCGCGUCCGCCGCGCCCCCUCACGGGGUCGUGGCGUCCGUGACGUCGCGGCGGCGCUCCACGCGUAGACCUCGGCGCUUUCGGCGUCGCGGGCUCUGCGCGUGCGAAUAUCAGAGCGUCGCCAUUUUCAUACGCGACGUCGUCUCGGACGGGACGCGUCCCGGUCKGCKGUGGUUUUGUUUCGGGCACUCACAGGA